GUCCACGCCGUAAACGUUGGGCACUAGGUGUGGGACUCUAUCGACGGGUUCCGUGCCGUAGCUAACGCAUUAAGUGCCCCGCCUGGGGAGUACGGCCGCAAGGCUAAAACUCAAAGGAAUUGACGGGGCCCGCACAAGCGGCGGAGCAUGUGGCUUAAUUCGAUGCGACGCGAAGAACCUUACCUGGGUUUGACAUGUAGGGAAAAGCCGUAGAGAUACGGUGUCCUUCGGGCCUUACACAGGUGGUGCAUGGCUGUCGU
rnacentral:rRNA from 1 species